GAUGAACGCUAGCGACAGGCUUAACACAUGCAAGUCGAGGGGCAGCACGGGAGUAGCAAUACAACUGGUGGCGACCGGCGCACGGGUGAGUAACGCGUAUGCAACCUACCUAUCAGAGGGGAAUAACCCGGCGAAAGUCGGACUAAUACCGCAUAAAACAGGGGCACCGCAUGGUGAUAUUUGUUAAAGAAAUUCGCUGAUAGAUGGGCAUGCGUUCCAUUAGGUAGUUGGUGAGGUAACGGCUCACCAAGCCGACGAUGGAUAGGGGAACUGAGAGGUUGGUCCCCCACACUGGUACUGAGACACGGACCAGACUCCGUACGGGAGGCAGCAGUGAGGAAUAUUGGUCAAGUGGGGCGGGAGCCCUGAACCAGCCAAGUCGCGUGAAGGAAGAAGGAUCUAUGGUUCGUAAACUUCUUUUGCAGGGGAAUAAAGUGCAGGACGUGUCCUGUUUGUAUGUACCCUGAGAAUAAGGAUCGGCUAACUCCGUGCCAGCAGCCGCGGU
rnacentral:rRNA from 1 species